UUAAGCGACUAAGCGUACACGGUGGAUGCCCUGGCAGUCAGAGGCGAUGAAGGACGUGCUAAUCUGCGAUAAGCGCCGGUAAGGUGAUAUGAACCGUUAUAACCGGCGAUUUCCGAAUGGGGAAACCCAGUGUGACUCGUCACACUAUCAUUAACUGAAUCCAUAGGUUAAUGAGGCGAACCGGGGGAACUGAAACAUCUAAGUACCCCGAGGAAAAGAAAUCAACCGAGAUUCCCCCAGUAGCGGCGAGCGAACGGGGAGGAGCCCAGAGCCUGAAUCAGCAUGUGUGUUAGUGGAAGCGUCUGGAAAGGCGCGCGAUACAGGGUGACAGCCCCGUACACAAAAGCGCAUGUGCUGUGAGCUCGAUGAGUAGGGCGGGACACGUGGUAUCCUGUCUGAAUAUGGGGGGACCAUCCUCCAAGGCUAAAUACUCCUGACUGACCGAUAGUGAACCAGUACCGUGAGGGAAAGGCGAAAAGAACCCCGGCGAGGGGAGUGAAAAAGAACCUGAAACCGUGUACGUACAAGCAGUGGGAGCACCCUUUGGGGUGUGACUGCGUACCUUUUGUAUAAUGGGUCAGCGACUUAUAUUCUGUAGCAAGGUUAACCGAAUAGGGGAGCCGGAGGGAAACCGAGUCUUAAUUGGGCGUUAAGUUGCAGGGUAUAGACCCGAAACCCGGUGAUCUAGCCAUGGGCAGGUUGAAGGUUGGGUAACACUAACUGGAGGACCGAACCGACUAAUGUUGAAAAAUUAGCGGAUGACCUGUGGCUGGGGGUGAAAGGCCAAUCAAACCGGGAGAUAGCUGGUUCUCCCCGAAAGCUAUUUAGGUAGCGCCUCGUGAAUUCAUCUCCGGGGGUAGAGCACUGUUUCGGCUAGGGGGCCAUCCCGGCUUACCAACCCGAUGCAAACUGCGAAUACCGGAGAAUGUUAUCACGGGAGACACACGGCGGGUGCUAACGUCCGUCGUGAAGAGGGAAACAACCCAGACCGCCAGCUAAGGUCCCAAAGUCAUGGUUAAGUGGGAAACGAUGUGGGAAGGCCCAGACAGCCAGGAUGUUGGCUUAGAAGCAGCCAUCAUUUAAAGAAAGCGUAAUAGCUCACUGGUCGAGUCGGCCUGCGCGGAAGAUGUAACGGGGCUAAACCAUGCACCGAAGCUGCGGCAGCGACGCUGAUGCGUUGUUGGGUAGGGGAGCGUUCUGUAAGCCUGCGAAGGUGGCCUGUGAGGGUUGCUGGAGGUAUCAGAAGUGCGAAUGCUGACAUAAGUAACGAUAAAGCGGGUGAAAAGCCCGCUCGCCGGAAGACCAAGGGUUCCUGUCCAACGUUAAUCGGGGCAGGGUGAGUCGACCCCUAAGGCGAGGCCGAAAGGCGUAGUCGAUGGGAAACGGGUUAAUAUUCCCGUACUUGGUGUUACUGCGAAGGGGGGACGGAGAAGGCUAUGUUGGCCGGGCGACGGUUGUCCCGGUUUAAGCGUGUAGGUGUGUGUUCCAGGUAAAUCCGGUUCACUUUAACACUGAGGCGUGAUGACGAGGCACUACGGUGCUGAAGCAACAAAUGCCCUGCUUCCAGGAAAAGCCUCUAAGCAUCAGGUAACAUCAAAUCGUACCCCAAACCGACACAGGUGGUCAGGUAGAGAAUACCAAGGCGCUUGAGAGAACUCGGGUGAAGGAACUAGGCAAAAUGGUGCCGUAACUUCGGGAGAAGGCACGCUGACACGUAGGUGAAGUGAUUUACUCAUGGAGCUGAAGUCAGUCGAAGAUACCAGCUGGCUGCAACUGUUUAUUAAAAACACAGCACUGUGCAAACACGAAAGUGGACGUAUACGGUGUGACGCCUGCCCGGUGCCGGAAGGUUAAUUGAUGGGGUCAGCGCAAGCGAAGCUCCUGAUCGAAGCCCCGGUAAACGGCGGCCGUAACUAUAACGGUCCUAAGGUAGCGAAAUUCCUUGUCGGGUAAGUUCCGACCUGCACGAAUGGCGUAAUGAUGGCCAGGCUGUCUCCACCCGAGACUCAGUGAAAUUGAACUCGCUGUGAAGAUGCAGUGUACCCGCGGCAAGACGGAAAGACCCCGUGAACCUUUACUAUAGCUUGACACUGAACAUUGAGCCUUGAUGUGUAGGAUAGGUGGGAGGCUUUGAAGUGUGGACGCCAGUCUGCAUGGAGCCGACCUUGAAAUACCACCCUUUAAUGUUUGAUGUUCUAACGUGGACCCGUGAUCCGGGUUGCGGACAGUGUCUGGUGGGUAGUUUGACUGGGGCGGUCUCCUCCUAAAGAGUAACGGAGGAGCACGAAGGUUGGCUAAUCCUGGUCGGACAUCAGGAGGUUAGUGCAAUGGCAUAAGCCAGCUUGACUGCGAGCGUGACGGCGCGAGCAGGUGCGAAAGCAGGUCAUAGUGAUCCGGUGGUUCUGAAUGGAAGGGCCAUCGCUCAACGGAUAAAAGGUACUCCGGGGAUAACAGGCUGAUACCGCCCAAGAGUUCAUAUCGACGGCGGUGUUUGGCACCUCGAUGUCGGCUCAUCACAUCCUGGGGCUGAAGUAGGUCCCAAGGGUAUGGCUGUUCGCCAUUUAAAGUGGUACGCGAGCUGGGUUUAGAACGUCGUGAGACAGUUCGGUCCCUAUCUGCCGUGGGCGCUGGAGAACUGAGGGGGGCUGCUCCUAGUACGAGAGGACCGGAGUGGACGCAUCACUGGUGUUCGGGUUGUCAUGCCAAUGGCACUGCCCGGUAGCUAAAUGCGGAAGAGAUAAGUGCUGAAAGCAUCUAAGCACGAAACUUGCCCCGAGAUGAGUUCUCCCUGAGACUUAGAGUCUCCUGAAGGAACGUUGAAGACGACGACGUUGAUAGGCCGGGUGUGUAAGCGCAGCGAUGCGUUGAGCUAACCGGUACUAAUGAACCGUGAGGCUUAACCUU
rnacentral:rRNA from 1 species